GUUGGCUACGGAGAAAUCACCCCAAAAACUUACAUGGGAAUGGUAGUUGGAUCCUUCUGUGCCUUAGCGGGAGUAGUAACCCUGGCCUUGCCUGCGCCUGUCAUCGUGACGAAC
rfam:Ramazzottius varieornatus DNA, contig: Scaffold005, strain: YOKOZTNA-1.